UACGUAGGGUGCAAGCGUUUAAUCGGAAUACUGGGCGUAAAGCGUGCGCAGGCGGUUUUGUAAGUCUGUCGUGAAAUCCCCGGGCUCAACCUGGGAAUUGCGAUGGAGACUGCAAGGCUAGAAUCUGGCAGAGGGGGGUAGAAUUCCACGUGUAGCAGUGAAAUGCGUAGAGAUGUGGAGGAACACCGAUGGCGAAGGCAGCCCCCUGGGUCAAGAUUGACGCUCAUGCACGAAAGGCGUGGGGAGCAAACAGG
rnacentral:rRNA from 1 species